UGCAGUUGAAGAUGUUUAAAUAUGACUCAUUUAGAAGGCAUGCUCGGAUGUACAUAGAGCCAGCGAUUGUGCACAAGUGGAAGAUGACAGACUGCUAUUUUGCAGCAGAAUGUCGUCCUUGGCGGUGACUUGAGAGCAGACUCUCCCGGACAUAGUGCCAAGUAUGGUAGCUACACCAUGAUGGACCUGAGGACCAACACUGUUAUUGAUUUACAGCUGGUUAAAAGUAAUGAGGUCGGGGGAAGCUACCACAUGGAGAAAGAGGGCCUAAAGAGGAGCCUGGCUCUGUUGGAAGAACGGGGUGUUACUAUGGAGAGUAUUGUGACAGACCGUCACCCCCAAAUCCAGAAGUUCCUGAGGGAGUCCAAUAUCACACAUUACUACGAUGUGUGGCACAUGGAAAUAGGACUGUCCAAGAAACUGUUGAAGAUCUCACAGAACAAGGACUGUGAGAAACUGACGAAAUGGCUUUGCAGUAUAAAAAACCAUAUGUACUGG